GAGAAACAGGGAGAAACAGGUAGGAACGGGGAGAAACAGGUAGGAACAGGGAGAAACAAGUAGGAACAGGGAAAAACAAGGAGAAACAAGUAGGAACAGGGAGAAACAGGUAUGAACAGGGAGAAACAGGUAGGAACAGGGAGAAAAACAGGUAGGAACAGGAAGAAACAAGGAUAAUCAAGUAGGACCAGGGAGAAACAGGUAGCAACAGGGAGAAACAGGUUGGAACAGGGAGAAACAGGUAGGAACAGGGAGAAACAAGGAUAAACAGGUGGGAACAGGGAGAAACAGGUAGGAACAGUGAGAAACAGGUAGGAACAGGGAGAAACGGGGAGAAACAAGUAGGAACAGGGAGAAAUAAGGAGAAACAAGUAGAAACAGGGAGAAACAGGUAGGAACAGGGAGAAACACGUAGGAACAGGGAGAAACAGGUAGGAACAGGGAGAAACAGGUAGGAACAGGGAGAAGCAAGGAGAAACAAGUAGGAACAGGGAGAAACAAGUAGCAACAGGGAGAAACAAUUAGGAACAGGUAGGAACAUGGAGAAACAGGGAGAAACAAGUAGGAACAGGGAGAAACAGGUAGGAAAACGGAGAAACAAGUAGGAACAGGGAGAAAUAGGUAGGAACAGGGAGAAACAGGUAGGAACAGGGAAAAACAAGGAGAAACAAGUAGGAACAGGGAGAAACAGGUAGGAACAGGGAGAAACAGGUAGGAACAGGGAGAAAAACAGGUAGGAACAGGAAGAAACAAGGAUAAUCAAGUAGGACCAGGGAGAAACAUGUAGCAACAGGGAGAAACAGGGAGAAAAAAGUAGAAACAGGGAGAAACAAGUAGAAACAGGGAG